CCAAAUGGAACUUCCCGACACCCCCCCCCUUAAAGUUUUGGCCAGAGGCGUCCUCGGGCCCCGUUCCCACCGUCGCUGCUGGGCGCCGACCCUGCAGGUAGACCUAUGUCUUAUUUUCGGGGUAUGUCUUAUAUUUUUAAAAUCUUAAAAAUCCUGCCAUGGCUUACUUUAUGACUACGGCUUAAAAAAGGGGAAACACGGUAGGUACCGCUCCGGUGGGUAGGUAAACGGCGUUUGCGUGUGCUGCUCCGGUUCGCCAGAAGUGGCUUAGUCAUGCUGGCCACAUGACCUGGAAGCUGUACGCUGGCUCCCUCGGCCAAUAACGCGAGAUGAGCGCCGCAAGCACAGAGUUGCUCACGACUGGACCUAAUGGUCAGGGGUCCCUUUACCUUUACCUUCCAGCAGUGAAACUAGUGUUUCAGCCAUACUAGUUUUUCACCUCCAAACCAGUUUUAUUGCUGAAUGUCAACUGCAGAUUUUACUUCCCAAGAAGAUCUAGCAACAGAGUCUUGAGGACAUCGAUCUCCUGAUUGCAUCUGUCCUAUACACUUAAGGUCACUUCAUUUUAGAAACCUUUGUUUUAUAUACACUAAAAGUGGGGAGGGGAGCGAAGUACUCCGUGAAUAUUUGACUCAGCACCUACUCUUCCUGUUCAGGUAAAAUUCCCUGUGUAGUCAAAUUUCAAAAGGUAGCAGAUCUGUAAAUUUUGUCUGAGUUGUUUGUUUCUUUUCUUAACAAGGUGGCUAUUGGGUGGUCUUUUAAAAGAAGUUACAUGGUUAUUAUCUUUUCUUCAUAAUGAAUACAGUAAUCAGAACUCUACGUGAGCGUGUUCCAUGUUGUGUUUUUGUUUGCGUGUGUCCAUACAUGAUAGGUUGCUUUGAAAAUGUACCAUUAUUUUAAACUCUGUCUCCUGACAGACCUACAACUGUCCAGUAUGUUUCCUUGAGAAAUAUAAUUUGCUGUGCUUUAUUGUGGGGUGUUUUUUUUGGGUGUGUGUGUGUGAUAAAAGCAGGGGAUUGGUGGUGUCAAAGACAGAAAAAAUGAAAGGUGACACAUGGAAUGACACAUCAAGAAAAUGAUGGAGAGAUUGAUUUGGAUUGAAUGAAGAGCUAAUGAAACAAAAAACACCAAGCCAGCAAUGUGUACUCAGUGCUCAUAUGGAGGAAAUUCUCUGGUCUUUAAAAAAAAAGUGCGUGUGAACAACCCCUGACUUGCAGCGCAAACCUAUGCAAGCUUACUUAAAGGUAAGCCCCAGUGUGUUCAGUGAGAUUUACUCCUAAGCAGUGCUAUUUUUUCUGGGAAAAGACAUGCUGGAACUCACCAUGAAUGCUUCCCUUGUUCUCUUAAAAUAGCAAUGGCGCCCACCUGAGAGGUGCGGGGACUCGGUUCAAGUGAGUUUCGGCUGAAAAUUUAAGCCCUGCUCCUAAGUAAAUGUGUAGUCUUAAAGUAUUCUUCCUAUUUAGUUUUCGGCUUCAGUCAUAUGCAGGUAGAGGUUGCUAUAUCUGAAACUAGCAAAUGUCAGUGUGAUGGAUAAUCCAUCCUUCGAUACGCAUGACUUGAGACCAUAGAGACAGAAAGCAGAAAUAAAUGAACAGUUGUUCUUAAUACAUUUUGUGAAUCGGCACCUGUGAUUGUUUGCGAAGGGGCCCCCUCCUCAAGCCGUCUAUUGAACAAUCGGUGCCAUAUAAUUGUGAAUGACUAGUUUAAUUAUUAAAGGACACAUAACCGCAAAACAUGUUGCUACGUAUAACUGUACUUGUAUAACUGUGUGCAUAACUUGCUCAGUCAAGUGAAUUGUACAGCAGUUAAGGUUACAAAUCUCACAAAGUUGCUCCUUGUCUUGGAUCCCUGAGAAAGACGUUUCUGAAUUCCUAUCUGCUGAUUAAUCAAGACAUUUUAGCCAAAGGUAAAACCUACCUAGCUCUUUAGAGAUACUCAUAAGCACGGGGCAUAUAAAGUAGCUAGAUCUCUUGGCCCUUUCUGUGCCUUCUUGUAAUUAUUAUUAUUAUUAUUAUUAUUAUUAUUAUUUGCUGCAACUGCACAGUGUUGAUUAGAUUUAAUGCAGUAAAUGCAUUAAAUGUACCAGAGGUACCUAUGCAUAUAAAGUUGUACUUAAAAUUUUGUUUUGUACAUGCAAAUUAUUAUUAUUAUUAUUAUUAUUAUUAUUAUUAUUAUUAUUAUUAUUAUUACAAAUUGCUUCAAAGUGCACAGUGUUUGUGAGAUUCCAGCUAUCUACCUGUGCAGUAAAUGCAUAGGUACCAGAGGUAACUAUGCAUAUAAAUUUGUACAUACAAAUGCAAAAUAGCAUCAUGAGCUGUGUGCCCUAACUCUUUCACCUAUCGGCGGUUCGAAUCCCUGCGAUGGGGUGAGCUCCCAUUGGUUGGUCCCUGCUCCUGCCAACCUAGCAGUUCGAAAGCACGUCAAAGUUCAAGUAGAUACACUUGCACUUGUACAGCGGGAAGGUAAACAGCAUUUCCGUGUGCUGUUCGGGUUCGCCAGAAGCGGCUUUGUCAUGCUGGCCACAUGACCUGGAAGCUGUACGCCGGCUCCCACGGCCAAUAAAUCGAGAUGAGUGCUGCAACCCCAGAGUCAGUCACGACUGGACCUAAUGGUCAGGGGUCCCUUUACCUUUAAGGCAAUGUUGUUCUACAAUAACGACUGGAUACAAAUUCAUUAUUCCAGUGGGUAACAAUUAUGAUAUGCAACAAAAGCACAGGAAGUCUUUUGACACCUGGAAAUUUAUAUUUAAAAAAAUCUUGUAGGAUGGGCUUCCAUGGGCCAGAGCCCACUUCAUUAAAAACACUAAAGUCUUGCCCAUAGUCAGCAGAUCGUCUGCAUGGAAAAUGAUGGGAUAGGGAGCAAAAUGCUAUUACAAAGCGAGACCAGAGGGCCUAACAACCCUAGAGUUAGUAGCAGAUGUGUCAAAGUAUUUAGAGUACUAAGGACACGGAGAAUCAGUCAAAAAGAGUAAAGGUCCCAGUGUGCUGAGUCUUUGCCUUCCUGUUUAUAAAAUAUCAGCUGUUAACCCCAUGAUAUUUUAUAUAAAAGGGGUAGAGGGGUAGUUUUGCUGGGGUGGCAAGGCGCGAUGAAAAUGGUGAGAUAGGGAUUGAGAGAGAAGAAGAGAGAAGGUGGCGGCAGAAAGAGGGGGCUGCCCUCCGACUGCCAUCCCCAUUUUUAUAAGGACAAAUUGCCAUUACAGAUUAUAUCAAUUGAUGCAUGUCUAAAGCUUAUUUUCCCUUUCUCUUAAUAGUAGAAAUGUCUAAGAGCAAGAAGUCAUUGAUUCUUUCACCUGUUGGGAAUGAUCAAACCAGACAAUAUGCAGUGGGUCACACAAUACUUUAAUGAGCUUGUUGGGGAUUUAUUUCUAGAAUCUGGUUAUCAUCAGACAUGACCAGACGCAUUGUGCAAAACCCACUGGCCUGUCUUUUUGUCCGGCGGAAAAGGGCUGUAGGGGCAAAUAUUUGCAGAGCAAGAUAAUCUCUGGGAGGUAAUGGCCCCGCUUUAGAAAGUGCCAUUGUUGAGACCAGUCAAAACUCACUUCAUCACUCACAAGUGAUUAAUGAAGCCAAAUUCUUUAAGUUAGUUACAUGUUGGCAUUUAUGUUCCCCUUAUAAGAUUACGUGAAGAAGUAGAGUUUCAGAGGUGAUAUGACUAUGUACUGUCUUCUGUUUCAAUGCUUGGUAAGAUCUCAGAAGCCAUAGGAAUUUCUGGAGCAGUUUUUGAGCAGUUUGAAAGGAUCACAGUGUUCAUGUAACAUACAGUGGUACCUCGGGUUACAAAUGCUUCAGGUUACGGACUCCGCUAACCCAGAAAUGGUACCUCAGGUUAAGAACUUUGCUUCAGGAUGAGAGCAGAAAUCGGGUGGGGGCGGCAGCGGGGCAGCAGCAGGAAGCCCCAUUAGCUAAAGUGGUUAAGAACAGUUUCAGGUUAAGAAUGGACCUCCGGUUAAGAACAGGUUAAGGUUAAGAACAGUUUCAGGUUAAGAAUGGACCUCCGGAACGAAUUAGUUCUUAACCAGAGGUACCACUGCAUUGGGUCUUCCUAGCAGUAGGAUAAAUUAGGCAAAACAGUAAAAAUGGCAAAAUAAAUUAGAAAAAUUUACCUAGGGAAAGUUAAGCACUUCUAAGACCUUGUGGUUUCAGCAAAGCAUUAAGCACAUCCUUCAAUUUUCCACAGGCUUAAAAAAGGGCUUUUAACUUUGCAUGAAUUGUGUCCUUGGUUUCUAAAACUUGUAGAAUUCAGUUCUUAUUUUCACAAUUUUGGGCCUCUUUGGUGCAGAAGCUAGAUCAGAAAAUAAUCAAGCAGAUAAAUUUUCAUGGUUUCAAAUUGAAAUAGUAACAUAAGCAUUACUUUGCUGCAUCAGAACAUAAGAAAAACUUAAUGAGGAGAGAUGAAAUAGGGGAGGUGCCCUUUCUCAUGGCUGUUCCAAACCUUCCUCAGGAAUGUACAGUAGAGUCUGAGUUCCAGGAAAGAUGGGGUCAUGAGGGAAAGAGACCCCCGUGUUCUAAAGCUCCCCUAAAUAUUUCAGAGGUACUAUGGCCAACACACCUUGUGGACUUCCAAAUGUUCCCCAAAACCUGGUUUACCUUUGAAAGCUUUAAAGGUUGGAAAUGGGGGAAAUCCUUGCAUCUGCUCACUGGAAAUAGUGGGGAGAUAGCGGUUGUCCUCCUGCCAUGACUUGGGAAGGCAGGUGACGUUUGCAUGGUGGUUAAUGCAAAAGCACACUUU